rnacentral:rRNA from 1 species
GGCGAAGGAUGCAAGCGUUAUCCGGAUUCAUUGGGUUUAAAGGGAGCGUAGGUGGACUUGUAAGUCAGUGGUGAAAUCUCUUCGCUUAACGAAGAAACUGCCAUUGAUACUGCAGGUCUUGAGUACAGAUGAUGUGGGCGGAAUAUGACAUGUAGUGGUGAAAUACUUAGAUAUGUCAUAGAACACCGAUUGCGAAGGCAGCUCACAAAACUGUAACUGACACUGAGGCUCGAAAGUGCGGGGAUCAAACAGG